rnacentral:lncRNA from 1 species
UUUCUCUUCUCUUCUCUUCUCUUCUCUUCUCUUCUUUCUUUCUUUUAGAUUUAUUUAUUUAUUUUAUGUAGCUGUACAGAUGGUUAUGAACCUUCUUGUUGUUGUUGGGAAUUGAAUUUAGGACCUCUGCUUGCUCCAAUCAACCCCACUUGCUCCGGCCCAAAGAUUUAUUUAUUAUUAUACAUAAGUACACUAUAGCUGUCUAAGUACACUAUAACUGUCUUCAGACACACCAGAAGAGAGGGUAUUAGAUCUCAUUACGGGUGGUUGUGAGCCACCAUGUGGUUUCUGGGAGUUGAACUCGGGACCUUCGGAAGAGCAGUCAGUGCUCUUACCUGCUGAGUCAUCUCACCAGCCCUGUUUUAUUCUUCAUGGUGUUUUUUUACUAUGUAAUAUGGUCUCAGCAUCUGGAGUAUGUCUAAUGUGAGUGAGUGACGUGGGUCAUUUUAAAGUCUGCUAGAUACUUUGGUACUGUGGCUAACAAUUUAUUUCUAGUUACCUUAUUCAUAGGUGUUGCCAUUUACCAGCUAAUGCCAUUCACAUGAUGUUGGUGUUUUCUUUCCUGCUCUAGUACAGAGAGCUGCUGAGCCAUCUCUCCAGCCCUGAUAACUUUCAAUAUAGACCAGGCUGGUCUUGAACUCACAGAGAUCCAUCUGACUCUGCUUCAAAAGUGUUGGGAUUAAAGGUUUCAGCUCCACACAGGGCCAGAACAUAUACUUUAAUUCAUAGUUUUUAUUUUGAAGUGAUUUUGAAAGAAAAAAAUUACCUCCUGGCACUGCUGUGUCUUUACUGUUGUACUGUUUUACUUCCCAUAAGCACAUUUACCUGAAACCCAAAGCUUAAUGAUGUAGAUUGUUGUAAAGGGUCCCACCCCACUCUUGGCAGUGAUUGAACCUAGGAUUUCAUGUGUUACCAGGAAGCGUCUAUCACUGAGGCCCAUGUCCCCAGUCCCUUUCUGCCUCUUAUUCUGAGACAGUCUCCUUAGGUUCCCUGCCACCUCAGCUUUGGAAGCAGCUUGGGUUGUAGACAUGUGCUUUUUGC